rnacentral:rRNA from 1 species
CCUACGGGCGGCAGCAGUAGGGAAUCUUUCACAAUGGGCGAAAGCCUGAUGGAGCAACGCCGCGUGCAGGAUGAAGGCCUUCGGGUUGUAAACUGCUUUUAUAAGCGAGAAAUAUGAUGGUAACUUAUGAAUAAGGAUCGGCUAACUACGUGCCAGCAGCCGCGGUCAUACGUAGGAUCCGGGCAUUAUCCGGAGUGACUGGGUGUAAAGAGUUGCGUAGGUGGCAUAAUAAGUAGCUAGUGAAAUCUGGUGGCUCAACCAUUCAGACUAUUAGCUAAACUGUUAAGCUCGAGACCGUUAGGGGUAACUGGAAGUUCUAGUGUAGGAGUGAAAUCCGUAGAUAUUAGAAGGAACACCAAUAGCGUAGGCAGGUUGCUGGGACGGUUCUGACACUAAGGCACGAAAGCGUAGGGAGCAAACGGGAUUAGAUACCCCAGUAGUC